rnacentral:rRNA from 1 species
GGAAACUGCCUGAUGGAGGGGGAUAACUACUGGAAACGGUAGCUAAUACCGCAUAACGUCGGUCAAGACCCGCAAAGAGGGGGACCUUCGGGCCUCUUGCCAUCAGAUGUGCCCAGAUGGGAUUAGCUAGUAGGUGGGGUAACGGCUCACCUAGGCGACGAUCCCUAGCUGGUCUGAGAGGAUGACCAGCCACACUGGAACUGAGACAGGUCCAGACUCCUACGGGAGGCAGCAGUGGGGAAUAUUGCACAAUGGCGCGCAAGCCUGAUGCAGCCAUGCCGCGUGUAUGAAGAAGGCCUUCGGGUUGUAAAGUACUUUCAGCGGGGAUCGGAAGGUGUUGUGGUUAAUAAUGCCACAGCAAUUGACGUUACCCGCAG